UCGAAUGUCAGAUGUUGAUAAAAUUGUAAACAAAUGUGAAGAAUUUUACAGUUUUGUUAUCAAUUGGCUAAAAAUAAACAAUGUUGAAUAUUUACUAAAAGAAAAUUUACUAUUCUAAAACAUCUCCCUUUCUGAAAACAUUAUCGCUUAUUUGCAAAGUGCACCCUUCAGAGGAAAGUGAGUGAAAUUUUUGUACCUGAUUUUCGAUUGUGAGAAAAUAAAUUAAAUCGAAAGAUGACCGACAUAGAAAGUUUGCCUGUGGAAACAUUUUUAGAUAUACUAAAACUAAUUGACGGUGUCACGUUAGCAAAAUGCAGAAGUGUUUGCAAAAAAUGGAAAGAUUGUAUUGAUAGCACAGAUUGGUUGUGGCACGAAAUUUGCAAAAAUGAGUUCAAAUUCUCGUCCAAACUUGCAAAGCAGAAGUCUGGGAGCGACUGUGACUGGUACCACAUUUAUAAGAACCUCAAAAUGUGGUCUAAAGUUAUGUCUUUUGAGAGAAAUGUAAGAGAAUUCUACAAGUUUACAUUACACGACAAAAACCACGCUCUGGAUGUUAACUAUAACAUUUUACCCUUGAGGGAUACCAGAGGGGUGGUAAUGUAUGAUAUGAGCACACUGAAAUACAUACCAGUUUCAGUACCGGAGAAAAACUGUGUUAAAAUUGCUAACAAUGACUUUGCCACUGUUAUACUACUAAAGUCCGGAAUGUACAUCCAAAAAACGAUUGACAACAUCAUAAACAUGUCUGAAGCAUUCUUCGAAGCAGAUAAUUUUGUUUUGGCUGGCAAUAACAUAUACUUUUUCAAUAACAGAGAUGUCUACAAGUGUGACUUAAGUUUAGACAAUUUAUCAUCAAAACUGAUAAUUCAUUGCGACUAUGACAUAAAAGAUAUACAGUACGAUAACAACGUCAUUCACAUAUUUACAGACUGCGCCAAAAUAGUCAAUGUGUAUAAAAAUAAAACUACUGAAGUGAAACCGAUCAAUGUUCCCCCGGAAUGGACGAAACAUAUUAAAUCUAUCCGCGCAAUUAAUGACAAGAACUUUGUCUGUUACUCACGGAACUUGUUCAAGAUUGAAACUGAUAAAUACCGGCAUUUAUAUUUAGAUUUUCCACCUAUAACAGCGUUGUUCUUUUAUGCUGAUAUUGUUUUAAUUGGGACACGACAAGGGGAGAUUCUGCUAUACCGACUGGCCAGUCAGAAACGGGCUAUAAAGCCUAUAUUUGAGGAUAUAGCUACAUUGCCAGGAGACAAGUUUGCUGUACAAUUGGAUGUUUGCGAAAGAAAAUCGGGUCCGGUGAUAGUAGUGGCAACGUUUUUUGAAAUAUUUCUUAUUGAGAUUGAUUUCUUUCCCCAUGAAAAAGAGCUAAAGAAAUCAUUCCCUGUUAACAAGCAGUAUAUGUACAAAAGGCUGUUGAGACUAAGAGACAGAAUCGCAUUAAAUUAUAGCUAAAUUAUAGUAUCAAAGAAAGUGCUGAUGUGAUCAGAAAAGUAUGAAAAAUAGUGUAUAGUGGUAUUUAUUUUUGUUUUUAAGAUUAUGAUGUUUCAAAGAUUACAUGGUAAGAGCAGAAAAUUGUACUUUUGAGACUCUAGUCUAUUCUAAUAUAUGAACUAGAAUGUACUAAGAGGCUGGACUCAGGUCUAAAUGGCAUAGUUAUGCCCAUUUUCGCCAUCAAUCCCUAGUUUAUAAGUGAUCCCUAUGGUAACACAACAGGAAUUUUGUUUUCAUAGGGGCCCCUUAAAAAUUAGGAAUUGAUGGUCAAUAUGGGCAUUAGAGUAGGACUGGUAAGGUGGUGUACUGGAGUGUCCCCUAGGUACGUAAUUUCGAAUACCGCUGUUACGACGAAUGCUGCUGUGAAUAAAUUGCUUGUUUUUACAUUUAAUAUUUUUUAUACACCGAAAUAACGGUCGUUCGUUCGUGACUACAUCAUUCGAGUCCAUAAGCUAUCGUACCUAUCCUAUGAGGCAGUGGAAAAAAAUUCGCAGCAGCGGUAUUCGCAAUAACUUAGGGGAUCCGUCGUCUAAAAUCAUCAAUAAGAUUUGACUAGACAUAUUAAAUUAUCUCUAUCAAAAGUGGAUUAUAUAAAGUCUAAUCCUGCUACUAAUCAAAUUAGUAAACAGUGAAAUAUUGUAAAAGAUUUUAAUCUGUGAUGGCAAUGGUUACUAGGUUUGCAAAAUGUGAAAUUGAAUUCUGUACAGAAAUGUUAUUUAUUUCCUAUUAAUUAUUUAUUCUGUUAUUGAAGCUUGUUAAGUGUAUAAUAGAAUUUCGUUUUGUGUGAUCUGUUAUUGUUGGUAAUAUUAUAGAAUAAUUAAAAGUCAAGCAUAUUUUA